UUAAUAAGGGCAAAUGGUGGAUGCCUUGGGACUAGACGCGAUGAAGGACGUGGCGUAGCUGCGAUAAGCUUCGGUAAGGUGUGUAGCAACCUGUGACCCGGAGAUCUCCUAAUGGGAAAACCCAAUCUUGGUUAUACAAGAUUAUCUUUUUGCGAAAGCUUAAAGAAGCAAACCUGGUGAAGUGAAACAUCUCAGUAGCCAGAGGAAAAGAGAACAAUAGUGAUUCCCUUAGUAGCGGCGAGCGAAGAGGGAAAAGCCCAAAACCAUAUUUAUAUGGUGGUUGUAGGGAGAUAACGUCUUUUAGUAGAGGAAGUUUAAAAGUUAAGUUAAUUAAUUGAAGUUUCUGGAAAGAAACGCCAUAGAAGGUGAUAGCCCUGUAAGUGAAAAUUAAUUUACACUUCUUGUUAUCUUUCCUGAGUACCGUCGGAUCAAGAAAAGUCGGCGGGAAUCCAGCAGGACUACCUGCUAAGGCUAAAUACAAUCUAGUCACCGAUAGUGAACCAGUACCGUGAGGGAAAGGUGAAAAGCAGUCCGAUAAGGACGGUGAAAUAGAACCUGAAACCAUUAUGCCUACAAGGAGUCAGAGCUAUUUUUUAAAUAGUGAUGGCGUGCUUUUUGCAGAACGAGCCAACGAGUUUUUCUUGUCAAUUGUCUAAGUGCUUAUGGCACGUAAGCUUAGGGAAACCAAGUCUUAACAGGGCGAUUAAAAAUUGGCAGGAAAAGACCCGAAGCCAGACGAGCUUACCAUGACCAGGAUGAAACUUGCAGAAAUGCAAGCGGAGGUCCGAACCCGUAGGUCGUGCAAUUCCUUGGGAUGAGUUGUGGUAAGGAGUGAAAAGCUAAUCGAGUUUGGUAAUAGCUGGUUCUUCCCGAAAUAGUUUUAGGGCUAGCCUCGCUUAUUUUGCUUUGGGGGUAGAGCACUGAAAGAGGUAUCAUUGGGCUUCGGCUCGGAUUCUUCUAUCAAACUCCGAAUACCAAAGUAUUUAGAGCGGGAGUCAGACUGUGGGAGCUAAGUUCCAUAGUCGCGAGGGAAACAGCCCAGACCAUCAUCUAAGGUCCCUAAAUCUAAACUAAGUGCAAAGAAGGAGGUGAGAUUUCUCAGAUAGUUAGGAGGUUAGCUUAGAAGCAGCUACCCUUUAAAAAGUGCGUAAUAGCUUACUAAUUAAGAGAUUUUGCGCCGAAGAUUAACGGGGCUCAAGUUUAGUACCGAAGAUAUGGGGUUAUUACUUUUUGUAAUAAUCGGUAGGGAAGCGUUCCUAUUGCACUGAAGCUAAAUCGUGAGGUUUAGUGGAGCGAUAGGAAGUGAGAAUGUUGGCAUAAGUAACCGCAAUUAUGGUGAGAUUCCAUAACGCCGUAAAUCUAAGGUUUCCUUAGCAAUGAUAAUCAGCUAAGGGUUAGGCGGGCCUUAGGAGAAGCCGAAAGGUUUAUCUGAUGGACAGCAGGCUUAAUAUUCCUGCCCUUCAGUAUUCUUCUUUAUAAGUGACGCAACUUUGUAGUCAAAAUAGAUUAUUGGAUUUUUAUUUUGAUGAGUGAGUUGCCAGGAAAAGCUUUUUAAAGGUUAAGAAUAUUGAAACCGUACCGCAAACCAACACAGGUAGAUGAGUAUAAAUGUACUAAGGCGAACAAGUGAAAGCUCCUGAAGGAAUUCGGCAAAAAAGUGGUCGUAACUUCGGAAUAAGACCUUCCUUUGCAUUUAUGUAAAGGACGCAGCUAACGUAUCUCAAGCGACUGUUUAUCAAAAACACAGGUCCCUGCUUAACUCGUAAGAGGAUGUAUAGGGGCUGAGGCCUGACCAGUGCCGGAGUGUUAAGAGUGGCGGUUGUCUCACUUUCACUUUAUAAUAAGAAGGGUUACUUCCUAGGAAUAAAUUAAAUUAAAGUAAAUAUUAACAAAAUUAAAGUGUCUUUAUCAAAUAGAAACUAGGUAGUAAUUUCAACUAUUGUAACGUGUAAGUGGGACAGCUGAUUGCUUCAAGCUUCCGGUGAACGUCCGCGGUAACUCUGACCGUGUUAAAGUAGCGUAAUCCCUUGUCGGGUAAGUUCCGACCCGCAUGAAAGGCUUAACGACUUGAGAACUGUCUCCAGGAGUUGCUUGGUGAAAUUGCAGUGGAGGUGAAAAUGCCUCCUACCUGUGGCUAGACGAGAAGACCCCAGGAGCUUUACUAUACCCUGGUAUUGAAUUAUGGCUUUAAAUGCGUAGAAUAGGUGGGAGACUAUGAUGUCAUGCUUUCGGGCGUGACGGAGUCGCCAGUGAAAUACCACUCUUUUAUUGUCAUGGUUCUAACCUCCAUGCUUUAUUUAGAGCAUGGGGAGACAGUGCUUGGUUGGUAGUUUAAGUGGGGCGCUUUCCUCCUAAAAAGUAGCGGAGGAGUUUAAAGGUUGGCUAGAUCCGGAUGGAAAUCGGAUUGGUCCUACAAAGGGAUAAGCCAGCUUAACUGCAAGGCGGAUAUGCUGCGCAGAUGGGAAACCAGAACUUAGUGAACCGACCUUGGUUCGUAGGACCGAGGGAGAUCAUCAAAUAAAAGCUACCCUGGGGAUAACAGGCUGGUAGUGUCCAAGAGUCCAUAUCAACGACACUGUUCGGCACCUCGAUGUCGGCUCAUCACAUCCUGGGGCUGUAGAAGGUCCCAAGGGUUUGGCUGUUCGCCAAUUAAAGUGGUUCGCGAGCUGGGUUCAGACCGUCGUAAGACAGGUUGGUUUCUAUCUACCACAGGCGCCGAGUCUUGAGAAGAGUUGCCCCUUGUACGAGAGGAUCGGGGUGAACCAAUCUCUGGUGUACCAGCUGUCAUGCCAAUGGCACUGCUGGGUAGCUAUAAUUGGGAAAGGAUAAGAGCUGAAAGCAUCUAAGCUCGAAGCCUACUUCAAGAUUAGGACUCAUACUCAGGUUAGAGACUAUGACCUUGAUAGGGUGCAGGUGUAAGUUCUGUGAAGAAUUGAGCCGAGCACUACUAAUUGA
rnacentral:rRNA from 1 species